AACGCAUCUUGCGCUCCUUGGUAUUCCAAGGAGCAUGCCUGUUUGAGUGUCAUUUCAAGUUCUCAACCGCACCAUAUAUUUUGGUGUGGCUUGGAAGGUGGAGGGUUUUUUGCAGGCAAUCGUCUGCUCCUCUGAAAUGAAUUAGUGGUGGUAUGCUACUAGUACAGGUGUGAUAAAACUAUCUAUGCCUUUCUUCUAGCAUAUUGCUGCUCAAAAAAAACAAAGAAACCUUAUGAUGAAUUUGACCUCAAAUCAGGUAGGACUACCCGCUGAACUUAA
rnacentral:misc_RNA from 1 species